rnacentral:rRNA from 1 species
UAGCGUUGUUCGGAAUUACUGGGCGUAAAGGGCGCGUAGGCGGUCUGCUAAGUUGGAUGUGAAAACUCUGGGCUUAACCCAGAGCCCGCAUUCAAUACUGACAGGCUAGAGUUCUGGAGGGGAUAGCGGAAUUCCUGGUGUAGCGGUGAAAUGCGUAGAUAUCAGGAGGAACACCGGUGGCGAAGGCGGCUAUCUGGACAGAAACUGACGCUGAGGCGCGAAAGCUAGGGGAGCAAACAGG